AUCGCUUCUCGGCCUUUUGGCUAAGAUCAAGUGUAUUAAAUAAAUGUUCAUUGAAUGCUCAUAAUGUUAACUAAGGAUAUUAAUAUUU
rnacentral:sRNA from 1 species